rnacentral:rRNA from 1 species
GACGAACGCUGGCGGCGUGCUUAACACAUGCAAGUCGAGCGGUAAGGCCCUUUCGGGGGUACACGAGCGGCGAACGGGUGAGUAACACGUGGGUGACCUGCCCUCAGCUCUGGGAUAAGCCUGGGAAACCGGAUCUAAUACUGGAUAUGACUCCAUGACGCAUGUUGUGGGGUGGAAAGCCUUGUGCGGCUGAGGAUGGGCCCGCGGCCUAUCAGCUUGUUGGUGGGGNGAUGGCCUACCAAGGCGACGACGGGUAGCCGGCCUGAGAGGGCGACCGGCCACACUGGGACUGAGACACGGCCCAGACUCCUACGGGAGGCAGCAGUGGGGAAUCUUGCGCAAUGGGCGAAAGCCUGACGCAGCGACGCCGCGUGA